rnacentral:rRNA from 1 species
CAGCCGCCGCGGUAAAACGGAGGGUGCAAGCGUUAAUCGGAAUUACUGGGCGUAAAGCGUGCGUAGGUGGUGGUUUAAGUCCGUUGUGAAAGCCCUGGGCUCAACCUGGGAAUUGCAGUGGAUACUGGGUCACUAGAGUGUGGUAGAGGAUAGUGGAAUUUCCGGUGUAGCAGUGAAAUGCGUAGAGAUCGGAAGGAACAUCUGUGGCGAAGGCGACUAUCUGGGCCAACACUGACACUGAGGCACGAAAGCGUGGGGAGCAAACAGGAUUAGAUACCCGCGUAGUCCCUGUCUCUUAUAC